UCCCACCACUCCCUCUUUCCUCACCCUACAAUCCGAAGCAACUCAUCAACAUCAGACCCCAGUGUGCUGUAUUUGGGCCUGAAACUAAGCAACGUGUUGCAUUAGGUCUUCGAUUCGAGCGAUUAAAGCUUAACCUUUGGCGGAGCUUGUGGUUGGCGGAGCUUGUGGUUGGCGGAGCUUGUGGUUCAACGCUUCUUCUCGACCUCGAGUUACUAUCAGGGUAUUUUUAGCUUACUAUUAUCCAUUUACCAAAAAAUGGCACCUAGUAAGCGUUGGAUGGAUCUUGUUGAUGAUCGGCUUAGCGAAGCAUAUGAAACGGGAGUUCAAAGUUUUUUGAAUUAUGCUUUCAAGAGGACUGGAAAGAAUAAGAAAAUUCGAUGUCCUUGUGUAAAAUGUGGUAAUACAUAUUCUGGAACUCGUGAGGUAGUUGAGUCACACUUGAAGGUUUACGGAAUAGUUCAAAAUUAUACUUUUUGGUAUCAUCAUGGCGAAAGGUCAGGUGAGCCUCAAUCUGAGUCAGAUGGCGAUGAUGGGGAGGAAAUUGAAGAAGAUGAGAGUGACAAUGAGAUGCAUGACAUUAUAAGAGAUUUGUAUCCUGAAUUUAGUGAUGUGGGUAGAGACUUUGAGAACUCUAAUUCCAUGAGUAAUGACGAGAUUGAAGAAGAACCAAAUGAUGAAGCAAAGAAAUUCUAUAGGUUAUUAAGAGACUCUAAUCAACCAUUAUAUGAUGGUUCCAAAAGCUCAAAAUUAUCUUUGCUAGUCAAAUUACUUCACAUUAAGAGCCUUGGUGGGUGGAGUAAUGCAUCAUUUACAAUGUUGUUACAAUUAUUAAAAGAUGAUCUUCUACCAAGUGGAACAAAUUUUCCUAAUUCAUACUACGAGGCAAAGAAGAUUAUUCAAGAUCUUGGUCUCUCUUAUAAAAAAAUUGAUGCAUGUAUAAAUGAUUGUAUGCUAUAUUGGAAGGAGGAUGCAAAUUCUAACUUGUGCAAAGUUUGCGGUGCUUCUAGAUGGAAGCAUGAUAAGCAUAGUGGUGAAACCAAGCAAAAGGUAAGUGGUAAAAGAGUACCUAUGAAGUCAUUACGCUAUUUUCCACUAAAGCCUAGACUUCAAAGGUUGUUUAUGUCCAAAAAGACAGCCUCCUUAAUGCGAUGGCAUAUUGAUCAAAGGGUUGAUGAUGGAGUGAUGCGACAUCCAGCUGAUUCAAUAUCUUGGAGAUCCUUCAAUGAACUUCAUGAAUCAUUUGCAUUGGAGCCUCGCAAUGUGAGACUUGGUCUUGCUAGUGAUGGUUUCCAACCAUUUGGAGAUUCGAGAAAACCAUAUAGCAUUUGGCCGGUAAUAUUAAUUCCAUACAACUUGCCACCAUGGAUGUGCAUGAAGCAAUCUAAUUUUAUUCUAUCGAUGCUUAUUCCUGGACCCGAGAGUCCUGGAGAUGCAAUUGAUAUAUAUCUCCAACCAUUAAUAAAUGAGUUAAAGGAGUUAUGGGAUGUAGGGGUUGAAACAUUUGAUGUAUCUAUUCGACAAAAUUUUCAAUUGCAUGCAGCUCUACUAUGGACUAUUAAUGAUUUUCCAGCUUAUGGUAACUUAUCCGGAUGGAGUACGAAAGGAAAACUAGCAUGUCCUUGUUGCAAUAAGAACACAUUUUCUAUUAGGUUAACUAAUGGUGGUAAGCAAUGUUACAUGGGCCACCGACGCUAUUUGCCUAUUAAUCACAAAUGGAGGAAUGAUAAAUUCUCUUUUGAUGGCACUAAAGAAAGGGGUUGUGCACCAAAGCUUCUUACAGGUGAUGAAAUUUUAGGACAGGUGCAAGAUCUUGAGGGGAUUAUCUUAACCAAAUAUGCCAACAAGAGACAAAAAAUAUCACAUAGUGAUCGUGGUGAUAAUUGGAACAAGAAAAGUAUAUUCUUUGAACUACCAUAUUGGAAGACUCUUUUGUUGCGCCAUAAUUUAGACUUAAUGCACAUUGAGAAGAACAUAACAGAUAGCAUACUUGGUACCAUCAUGAAUAUUAAAGGAAAAACAAAGGACACUAUUAAAUCUCGUCUUGAUUUGCAAGCAAUGCAUAUAAGGCCUGAAUUACAUCCCGUUAGAAAAGGAGAUAAAUUGGCACUUCCACAUGCUUCCUAUACAUUGUGUCCAAAGGAAAAGCACACAUUUUGUGUUUUCUUUAAACAAUUGAGGGUUCCUGAUGGCUUCUCGUCGAAUAUAUCUCACUGUGUGAACCUUAAAGAGCACAAAAUUUCAGGGUUGAAAAGUCAUGAUUGUCAUGUUAUUUUGCAACGCCUACUUCCGUAUGCAAUACGUGGUCUUCUUCCUAAAGCAGUUUUUGAACCACUUAUUGAGUUAUCUUCAUUUUUCACUGUGGUGGGUUCUAAGACACUAAAAUCAGAUGAUUUGAAUCAGAUUGAGGCCCAGAUUCCUAUAACUCUUUGUAAGCUAGAGAGAGUUUUUCCUCCUUCAUUUUUCGAUGUUAUGUUACAUUUACCAAUUCAUUUAGCAAAUGAGGCUAAGAUUGGUGGGCCUAGCCAAUAUAGAUCAAUGUAUUCUAUAGAACAAUACUUGUAUACUCUAAAGGGAUACAUACGCAAUAGAGCUUGUCCAGAGGGUUCGAUUGCAGAAGGUUAUAUUGCGAAUGAAUGUAUGACUUUUUGCUCAAGAUAUCUUCAUGGCAUGGAUACAAAGUUUAAUCGUCAUGAGAGGAAUUAUGAUUGUCGAGAUAUUAAAGCACAUAAAGGUUUAUUUAUCUUUUGUCAACCUGGGAGAGCGAUAGGAGCUGGUACUACACGUGACUUAGAUACAAAUGAGUUCAAGCAAGCACAUAUUUAUGUCUUGAAGAACUGCCCUGAAGUUCAACCAUUUCUUGAUCAGUUCUCGCAAAUUCAAAGUAGAAGGGCACUAGAAGUAUUUGACAAAAAUUUUAUUGAGUGGUUUAAGAUCAAGGUUGCACAAAUUCAUAAGCAGGACAACAACUUGAUUAUGGAAGACUUGCUUUCUUUGUCACGUGGUCCUACCAAAUAUGUGACAUGUUAUAAUGGAUAUCUAAUAAAUGGAUAUAGAUUCCGGAUAGAAGAUAUUGACAAAGGCUUAAGGACACAAAACAGUGGAGUGGUUGUAGUUGGUGAUACUGGUAGUGAAACUGAAAGAAGAGACUACUAUGGGGUCUUAACGGAGAUCAUUGAAUUACAAUAUCUUGGUGGUCGUCGAGUAGUAUUGUUCCGAUGUAAUUGGUGGGAUGUAUAUAACAAAGAAAAAGGAGUGAAAAUAGAUGAAUAUGGGCAUAUUAGUGUUAAUUGCCAAAGAUUAUUGAAAACAAAUGAACCUUUUGUAUUGGCCAAUCAAGCAUCGCAAGUAUUUUAUGCAUCUGACAAUGUUAAUAAAGGUUGGCAUAUUGUACAAAAGACUCAACCUCGUGACAUAUAUGAGAUGCCUUUAGAGAUGGAUGAGGAUUCUAAUGAUCUACAAAAUAGGGUUGAGGCAUAUCAACAAUUUGAAUCAUUUAUUUCCAUCAAUGCUGCAUCUACAUCACAAAAUAUGGAUGAUGAAGUCAAUUAGAAUAGGAAAGAUAUGGAGCCAAUGAUUAUUGAUAUAACUUCCACAAGAAAGAAGAAGAAACAAAAAUCAUAAGAAGUUGACUACUCGGCUGAUACUUUAUACAUGUGAAAAAUGCAACCAACAAAAUCACGAAAUGGCUAUACAUUCAACCCUAGAGCUGACAAGCAUAUGUUCAUACAACCUGGAGCAUUGAGUAAGGGGCGUGUACAAGGGUUAAAAUUAUUUCAUUCUUUUGGCUCGUCAUCACAAAGUACACUUCUAGAUACUAUCAAUGAUGUUACACCACCCGUUGAUACCCCUAUUAUGCAUUCAAAUGAUGUCUUUGUCCCCUCAGAUGUAGAGCCAAUGGAAGAAUUAAGGGAAACAGAUACUAAUAGUGCUCAAAAGAAGAGAAAGGUGCGAGGCAAAAACAAGUGUAAACAAGUUGCAAAACUAAAAAGUGGACAAAAGUUGGAAG